CCUUUGAGUGCCUCAGAUGCAUUUUUGGACUGCCUGCCUAUACCAUGGACUUUUACAGGUUUCUCCAGCUGGAUUUGCUCCUCUUCCUCCUUAACGUUGCCCACAUCCUGGUACGGGCCAUGUGCCUGGGACCGCUCGAUCUGAUCAUAUGUGGACCAACACUCAUCCAGAUUCAGCCCCUGGUGUGUGAGAUAAGGGAGACAGAAAUUGAGUACACACGCAAAAAUCAAUUAAACAUACUCAUGUGAAAUCGA